rnacentral:rRNA from 1 species
GACGAACGCUGGCGGCGUGCCUAAUACAUGCAAGUCGAACGCAGUGGGGACGGGUGAGUAACACGUGGGUAACCUCCCAUCAGAGGGGAUAAAACUUGGAUACAGGUGCUAAACCCAUACUGAUGGAUGAACCCGCGGUGCAUUAGCGAGUGGGUGGGGUAACGGCUCACCAAGGCCACGAUGCAUAGCUGGCCUGAGAGGUCGAUCGGCCACACUGGGACUGAGACACGGCCCAGACUCCUACGGGAGGCAGCAGUAGGGAAUCUUCGGCAAUGGACGAAAGUCUGAUCGAGCAACGCCGCGUGAGUGAAGAAGGUUUUCGGAUCGUAAAACUCUGUUGUUAGAGAAGCGGUAUCUAACCAGAAAGCCACGGCUAACUACGUGCCAGCAGCCGCGGUAAUAC